AGCUAAUUAGUUUAAAAUAUAAAACAUUAAUUUUGUAAAUUAAAAAUCUUUUUAAGACUAGCUU
rnacentral:tRNA from 1 species